rnacentral:rRNA from 1 species
GACGAACGCUGGCGGCGUGCCUAAUACAUGCAAGUAGGACGCAGAUGCGAACGGGAGAGUAACGCGUAGGUAACUGCCUAUUAGAGGGGGAUAACUAUUGGAAACGAUAGCUAAUACCGCAUACUAGAAGAUGGACCUGCGUUGUAUUAGCUAGUAGGUAGGGUAAUGGCCUACCUAGGCAACGAGACAUAGCCGACCGGGAGGGGUGGUCGGCCCCACGGGGACUGUGGAACUGCCCGGACUCCUACGGGAGGCAGCAGUAGGGAAUCUUCGGCAAUGGGGGGCACCCUGACCGAGCAACGCCGCGUGAUGGAAGAAGGUUUUCGGAUCGUAAAGCUCUGUUGUUAAGGAAGCGUUACUUAACCAGAAAGGGACGGCUAACUACGUGCCAGCAGCCGCGGUAAUUC